CCGAAAGCUAUUUAGGUAGCGCCUCGUGAAUUCAUCUCCGGGGGUAGAGCACUGUUUCGGCUAGGGGGCCAUCCCGGCUUACCAACCCGAUGCAAACUGCGAAUACCGGAGAAUGUUAUCACGGGAGACACACGGCGGGUGCUAACGUCCGUCGUGAAGAGGGAAACAACCCAGACCGCCAGCUAAGGUCCCAAAGUCAUGGUUAAGUGGGAAACGAUGUGGGAAGGCCCAGACAGCCAGGAUGUUGGCUUAGAAGCAGCCAUCAUUUAAAGAAAGCGUAAUAGCUCACUGGUCGAGUCGGCCUGCGCGGAAGAUGUAACGGGGCUAAACCAUGCACCGAAGCUGCGGCAGCGACGCUGAUGCGUUGUUGGGUAGGGGAGCGUUCUGUAAGCCUGUGAAGGUGGCCUGUGAGGGUUGCUGGAGGUAUCAGAAGUGCGAAUGCUGACAUAAGUAACGAUAAAGCGGGUGAAAAGCCCGCUCGCCGGAAGACCAAGGGUUCCUGUCCAACGUUAAUCGGGGCAGGGUGAGUCGACCCCUAAGGCGAGGCCGAAAGGCGUAGUCGAUGGGAAACGGGUUAAUAUUCCCGUACUUGGUGUUACUGCGAAGGGGGGACGGAGAAGGCUAUGUUGGCCGGGCGACGGUUGUCCCGGUUUAAGCGUGUAGGUGUGUGUUCCAGGUAAAUCCGGUUCACUUUAAC
rnacentral:rRNA from 1 species